GGAGGCAGAGAAGAAGAGGCAAUGCUUUCUCUGAGUCUGAGUUCAGACCAAAUCUUCUGUUUUUACAGACAAGAAACUCAGAAAAUCUGACUUUUAGAAAAAUAGGUUUGAAUUUUACUUAAUAAUUCUGAAUUAAGCACAAUUCUGAUGAAAACUUCAUAAUUAAUUAAGGUAUUGAUCAAUUCUAAAUUCAAAUAGUUGUUUUAAAAAAGGUUCCUGUAUUAUUGACUUUAAUUCAUAUUUUUUUAAAAUUGGGCUUUUUCAAUCAUGUAUCUUUGAAAUGUUAGAUUGUUUUAAAUUCCACACAUUGUAUACGUGGACGAUACACAUGGAACAGCUCAGAGAGAUACAGACGUGCCAGACCAUUCACACAUUUAAAAACCAAAAGUAAAAUCUCAAAGUGAUCCUGAUAGACACAGGCAGCCAGUGAGGAGAGCGUAACAGAGCAGUGAUACGCUCACACCGUCUGCUCCCCCUUAACAGGCGGGCCGCUGAAUUCUGAACCAGCUGGAGACGGCGAGCAGAGACGGUCAAUACCACUGUAGAGAGUUCCAGUAGUCCAGUCUGGAGAAGAUCACAGAAUGGAUAUCUUCUUCCACAGCAUGAGGAGGAAGGCUGUGAUGCAGGCAGAACCACCAUCAUUCUGUGGCCAAACCACAAACAGGAGAACCUUUCCGUCAUGAGGGGACGGACGUCCAGAACCCUCCUGUGAGAGCGCCUCUGCUUCUCUGAAUGCAACUCCAUGCUUGUUCGUAGCCUUUGUCUGGACUUGGAGGACUGGAAGACGGAUGGACGGUUGUUUCUGCAGCAGCUUCACUGAAGACCAACAGCCUGAGCGCCUCAGCGGCAGGACGUCUGGAGGAUUCUGGACGGCAGGAUGCUCGCUGAACACAUCUGAACGGAGAGAUGGACAGAUGUGAAGGAGCCGGCAGCGCUGAUGGACACCAAGGGGAGGUCAGGGAUGGAAAACGCAGGACGACGGCAAAGAAGGGGGAACGAACGGGAAGAGAGGAGUUUGUGAUGAAAAACAGCAAAAUGCUAAAAACACAAACAAGAAGAGGAAAAAAGCAAAAUCCUAACAAGAGAGAAAAGAGAAAGUUGUGGAUUACAGCUGCAAAAGGAGCCCUGACUUCCAGCAGAUGAAGGUGAAAUCCUUGCAUCAUGGUUGCUUCCGGUGGAUCGUCUCACUGCUGGGACGCUCCACCUCAGGACCACUGCUUGGUUCUUAAUUAGCUCCAGCGUGGAGGAGCUUUAUUUUCCAUGAAAAAGCAGACACGGAGGAUGUCCAGAAAGACAGAUGUGUUUCAGAUCAGCACUGCUUCUUUUCUUAUUGUUUUUUUUAACUCGAUAAAUAGACCCCGCCCACAAAUCCUCCUAAAGCCUGCUGAUGAGGAACACAUCGGAGCUGCGGGUCAGUGUGGUAUUGGUGGAUGAAUCAGGAAAUAAAGACCAGAGAGCGACGAUGAAAUGCCAGAAUAAUAAGUCAUAGUAACCCUAAGGUCAAUAAUUUGGUUUUAAAAUCAAGAAAAUAUCAUUUUUACAUGUAGAAGCAGACGCUGAUGUUCCUUCUGUCUUCUUAUUUCUACAAUGAAACUAAAACCAACUUGAUGAAAGAUGAAGAUUCAUUUUGUUUAGUCUAGUUUCUGCUGCUUUUUAGGAGGAAAUAUUUAACAGCUUUAUCUGAAAAAGCCAACAAUAUUAUGGCUACAUUCACCUCAGUGCAUUACAUGGUAAAUGCAAUUUCACAUCACCAUUCAUCCUCUAAAUGUAUUUAGCUUGUUUAAAGCCUGUGAUUCAACACUGCUCUUCAUUGAAUGCUAAGCAGAACAGAGCCGACCUGCAGAACCUGAACUCACAGGGACCCUGAUCCAACCAGAAGGAGCUGCAGUUCCAGAGGAAAAUGCAGGAUUGAAUGCUGUACUGCUGAAUGGAAAUGACACUUAAAGGGUCAUAAUUAGCAAAAAAAUACAUUUAAAAUAAAGAAAUGAUCAACCCUGUGACCAUAAGUGGUUGGGAUAGGCUCCAGCAG